AAACUGGUGUUUUUUUGUGUUUUAUCACUGCGUACACAAGUUUUGAGAGUGUUUUUGAAGAUUUAAGUUAUUGUUUUGAAGUGUAUACGAGUGACAUUUCCCGGAUAAUGUUCUUGUGAUUUCUGUUUACUUCAGCGAGCUAAGAAGGACGCUAAACAUCACUUCUUGACCUUGCUUAUGGACCGAAUGAACUAAUAAGUGACAGUAUGUUGUAAUUGAAAUGACAACUUUUCGCGGCGAGUAAAUAAAGGAACGAGUCUAGUUUU
rnacentral:misc_RNA from 1 species